rnacentral:rRNA from 1 species
GAUUCUGGCUCAGAACGAACGCUGGCGGCAUGCCUAACACAUGCAAGUCGAACGAGACCUUCGGGUCUAGUGGCGCACGGGUGCGUAACGCGUGGGAAUCUGCCCUUGGGUUCGGAAUAACAGUGAGAAAUUACUGCUAAUACCGGAUGAUGUCUUCGGACCAAAGAUUUAUCGCCCAGGGAUGAGCCCGCGUAGGAUUAGCUAGUUGGUGGGGUAAUGGCCUACCAAGGCGACGAUCCUUAGCUGGUCUGAGAGGAUGAUCAGCCACACUGGGACUGAGACACGGCCCAGACUCCUACGGGAGGCAGCAGUGGGGAAUAUUGGACAAUGGGCGAAAGCCUGAUCCAGCAAUGCCGCGUGAGUGAUGAAGGCCUUAGGGUUGUAAAGCUCUUUUACCAGGGAUGAUAAUGACAGUACCUGGAGAAUAAGCUCCGGCUAACUCCGUGCCAGCAGCUGC